rnacentral:rRNA from 1 species
CGUAGGGACCGAGCGUUGUCCGGAUUUCAUUGGGCGUAAAGAGCACGUAGGCGGCUGCUCAAGUCGAAUGUGAAACCUCGAGGCUUAACCUCGAGCCUGCAUUCGAUACUGGGCGGCUAGAGUCUGGUAGGGGGAUCUGGAAUUCCUGGUGUAGCGGUGGAAUGCGCAGAUAUCAGGAGGAACACCGGUGGCGAAGCGGGAUCCUGGGCCAGUACUGACGCUGAGGAGCGAAAGCGUGGGGAGCAAACAGGAUUAGAUACCCUGGUAGUCCACGCCGUAAACGAUGGGCGCUAGGUGUGGGAGGUCAUCGACUCCUUCCGUGCCGCAGCUAACGCAUUAAGCGCCCCGCCUGGGGAGUACGGCCGCAAGGCUA